rnacentral:rRNA from 1 species
GACGAACGCUGGCGGCGUGCUUAACACAUGCAAGUCGAACGGAAAGGCCCUGCUUUUGUGGGGUGCUCGAGUGGCGAACGGGUGAGUAACACGUGAGUAACCUGCCCUUGACUUUGGGAUAACUUCAGGAAACUGGGGCUAAUACCGGAUAGGAGCUCCUGCUGCAUGGUGGGGGUUGGAAAGUUUCGGCGGUUGGGGAUGGACUCGCGGGUUAUCAGCUUGUUGGUGGGGUAGUGGCUUACCAAGGCUUUGACGGGUAGCCGGCCUGAGAGGGUGACCGGCCACAAUGGGACUGAGAUACGGCGCAGACUCCUACGGGAGGCAGCAGUGGGGAAUAUUGCACAGUGGGCGGAAGCCUGAGGCAGCAACGCCGCGUGCGGGAUGACGGCCUUCGGGUUGUAAACCGCUUUCGCCUGUGACGAAGCGUGAGUGACGGUAAUGGGUAAAGAAGCACCGGCUAACUACGUG